rnacentral:rRNA from 1 species
UACAGAGGUCCCGAGCGUUGUUCGGAUUUAUUGGGCGUAAAGGGUGCGUAGGCGGCGGAGUAAGUUGGGUGUGAAAUCCCGGGGCUUAACCUCGGAAUUGCAUUCAAUACUGCUUCGCUAGAGUACUGGAGAGGAGGCUGGAAUUUACGGUGUAGCAGUGAAAUGCGCAGAUAUCAGGAAGAACACCCGUGGCUAAGGCGGCUCUCUAGUACGGUACUGACGCUGAGACGCGAAAGCGUGGGGAGCGAACAGG